rnacentral:rRNA from 1 species
UUGCUCUUCAACGAGGAAUCCCUAGUAAGCGCGAGUCAUCAGCUCGCGUUGAUUACGUCCCUGCCCUUUGUACACACCGCCCGUCGCUACUACCGAUUGAAUGUGUUAGUGAGACCUUUGGAUUGACUUUGGGGAGCCGGCAACGGCACCUCGUCGUUGAGAAGUUGGUCAAACUUGUGCAUUUAGAGGAAGUAAAAGUCGUAACAAGGUUUCCGUAGGUGAACCUGCGGAAGGAUCAUAUAAUGAAUUUGAACAGGACUUGAUGCUGGUCUCCUCGGAGGCAUGUGCUCAGUUCUAAUCAUUCCAUUCAACACCUGUGCACUUUCAAAGCUGUAGUCCUCCGUCAUGGGAGCCGCGUCUUGUAAUGAGAUGCUGGGAUUACACUUUGCCCUUAUCAUAAACUCAAUUAAAGUCUGUAGAAUGUUAAUAGCCUAAAGGCUUAAUCUAUACAACUUUCAACAACGGAUCUCUUGGCUCUCGCAUCGAUGAAGAACGCAGCGAAAUGCGAUAAGUAAUGUGAAUUGCAGAAUUCAGUGAAUCAUCGAAUCUUUGAACGCACCUUGCACUCCUUGGUAUUCCGAGGAGUAUGCCUGUUUGAGUGUCUUUAAAUCAUCAAUCUAACUUUGCUUUUGUGAAGCUGGAUUGGAUUUGGGGAUUGCUGGUGAAAGCUAGCUUCCCUUGAAUGCAUUAGUUGGACCGAGUUGCAACGCUACGUGUGGUGUGAUAAUAUCUUCACUGCAUAGUUGUAAUGAAGUUUGGCUUCUAACCGUCCUUUGCUGGACAAUUAUUGACCAUUGGACCUCAAAUCGGGUAGGACUACCCGCUGAACUUAAGCAUAUCAAUAAGCGGAGGA